UACAAAGAGACUGUCUACCUUGCUAGAUUGA
rnacentral:piRNA from 1 species